rnacentral:rRNA from 1 species
AUUGAACGCUGGCGGCAGGCCUAACACAUGCAAGUCGAGCGGCAGCGGAAAGUAGCUUGCUACUUUGCCGGCGAGCGGCGGACGGGUGAGUAAUGUCUGGGAAACUGCCUGAUGGAGGGGGAUAACUACUGGAAACGGUAGCUAAUACCGCAUAACGUCGCAAGACCAAAGAGGGGGACCUUCGGGCCUCUUGCCAUCAGAUGUGCCCAGAUGGGAUUAGCUAGUAGGUGGGGUAACGGCUCACCUAGGCGGCGAUCCCUAGCUGGGCUGAGAGGAUGACCAGCCACACUGGAACUGAGACACGGUCCAGACUCCUACGGGAGGCAGCAGUGGGGAAUAUUGCACAAUGGGCGCAAGCCUGAUGCAGCCAUGCCGCGUGUAUGAAGAAGGCCUUCGGGUUGUAAAGUACUUUCAGCGGGGAGGAAGGUGUUGAGGUUAAUAACCUCAGCAAUUGACGUUACCCGCAGAAGAAGCACCGGCUAACUCCGUGCCAGCAGCCGCCGUAAAAC